ensembl:lncRNA novel transcript
AAACACCCAACCGCGCAGCCCACGCUGCGGGGCCACGACUUGGCCGGAUUUAUGUUCAUGGCUGAGGAUGCCAUGGGCCGAGUAAGAAGGAGAACCGCCACCCAACCACGCAGCCAAGAGCAACCCAGGGAUCCCUCCUCUGCUUGCUCCCCUCCCCCACCCCUGCUGUACCUUCUGCGCAGCCAUCUCGGUAACGGGCGUCAGGGGCGCUCGGCGGCCUGCUGUCCAAGCUGGGGUCAGGAGCCUGGCGGUAGCAAAGAGCAUCACCGAAAGGAAGCUGGUAGGCUAGCGAGGCCAGCCCCAAAGACCCACAGAUACACGCGCUGCUCCGAACUCGCGGGCCCGCGGCGUCCACUAAUGAGAUGAACCUGGGCGCGCAGCGGCUGGACCUCAGCUGCUAGGGCGCCGCCAAGGCCCUGCUGGACACCUUCUGGUACCUGGGCCUCGUGUAUUACACCUGUGGCUGCCGCCGAGGCGCGGUUCAAUUUGAAGUCUGAGCCCCUACAGGCCCGUGAAUCCUGGAUUACAACUGCAGUUUGUGCAAGAAGCAGCAGCACCUGCACUUCCACUUAGCAACCUCCGGCUUCACGCUCCUCCAGGGCGCAGAGAGCAUCAAAGCAUUAUCACCGACCCAACACACACCGGCGCUGCGUAGUUUCUGCAGCAGGUGUGGGGUGAAGAGUUGCCACACAGCUGUCUGACACCGGGUGUACGGCGUCACCCCUCACUUCCUGGACAAGGCAACAUUUUCCUAAAGGUAAAGACCAUGAACAUGUAGAGGCCCCCUUACUCUCAUGCUAGUCCGCAUUCAGCCGGAAGCAAUUCAGCAAAUUUGCCAUUUAAGUGACGCCCUGGAUCUGUCUUUCAGAGUAGUGGCUUACCCUGCAGCCUCAUUUCUCUGAUAAGUAUUUUUUUAAAGCCAUUGAUUCAGUUUGUUCAUCUUUUUCUUGUUGGAAGAAGGGGGUGGGGUGACAAUUUCCAGCUUCUUUACAUGAAAGAGCUGAAACCAGAAGUCUCGCUUGUGACCAUUUUUGCAAUAUACUACAAUCACUAUAAGCCUAUGAUUUAGAAAUAUCAUGGUAAAUGCCUGAGAAGCAGAAAAAAUAGUUGAAAGAAGUUUUCUCAGGGAGCCAGAGCAGGAGUGGGGGCGAGUAUGGAUUUAGAUUCAAAUGAUUUCUGGUUUCAUUAAAGGCUAGUGUUAUUCUUUAAGAACUUUUAAGAUCAUGUAUGUAUAUUAUUUUGAGAAAAUUAAAGAAUAAGUGAUGCAUUUUAUGUAGAAAUAAUCUAUAUAAAUUCUACAUAGAAAAAUACGUAGAAAUACCAAGUUUAAUUUCAAGAUUAAAUAAAUGCUCAAAAAUACAUACAAUUCCUAAAACAGUUAUUACCACUUACUUGUUAAUGUUAGUUGUGACUGUUUAUAAAUUAACGUGCACAUUUUACUCUUGAUCCAAAUGCUACUGUUUGAACAUUAAUUGGCUUAAGUAAUAAUUUUUAAAUUGUACUUCACAAAAUUUAGAGGAAACAAUGCAAGGGAAGGGACUAUAUUCCCAUUUCCCUGAUGAAGACACUAAAGCUUAAAAGAUUAGGUAACUUGCUGAAAGUCAUGCACUAAGUAAGUGGUUGACUGGCACAGUCUCACAAAUCCAUCUGCUGUUAUGUAUACCUCUCUCCCUCUACACAUUUUUGAAUAGCCAUGCCUUUAUCAGAAAAAAUGGUGUUACUCUUCCACUAGGAUUGGGAACCAAAAUUACUGAUAAAAGUACAAGGAGAGUUGAAUACGAUCUUUCAGUUCUUUUCAAGAAUCACAAAUCCCUAAGCCAAUAAAAAAGUUUAGAAGCUAGAAGCAAAGACAGAGAUCUUCCAAAUUUGUUUAAUGAAGGAAGUCUAAACUCUGAUUCCAAAACCUGGCAAAGAUAGUUCACUACACACAAAGAAAGAUGUGGAUCUCUCUCACUUAUUAACUUAUAUUUAAUUUUUUAUUAAUAAAAUUUGGGUCCAUAAAAUUAAACUGUAUAUAAAAAUCUAUCAUAUCCUGGUAGUUUCCUAGUCAUGAGAGCAUGAUGUAAUAUUAGGAAAUAUUUUAAUUAACCCUCCACAGUAUAUAAAAAUCCAUCAUAUCCUGGUAGUUUUCUAGUCAUGAGAGCAUGGUGUAAUAUUAAGAAAUAUUUUAAUUAACCCAUUAUAUCAAUAGGUCAAAGGAGAAAAAUCCUAUCAUCUGAGGUGCUGAACAAAGAAUUCAAUAAAUUCAAUCAAUCUGAUGCACUCUGCAGUCGUUCUAAGUUCUUGUCUACUAAAAUCCUCGACUACUACACAUCCACAAUCGCUUCUGUGAAACUCUUGGGACCAAAUGGUUCAGAAUUUGUCUCCCAUACAUACAUAAUAUCUAUGUCAAGGCCUGUAGUAAUACUGUGGAAUCUAAUACAAUGAUAUUUCUGUAGUGAAACAUACAAAUGUUCACUCCAAGAUCUAAAGAUUACAAAUAGCAUCAUGUCAGUUCAAAUCAGGUUUUAUGGAUAAAUGAGUCAGGAAAAGUAUGUUUUUCAAAGCAUUUUGAAUGUUAGACUUGUGCACAAGGGAUUGUGAGUCUGAAUCAUAUUUCCGUCAACUCUUCUUGCCUUUCAUACAAUUUUUUUCUUUCUGUUAUCUUUUUUAUCAUUGAAAUACAACAUUUAGAUAGAAGAUUGUGCAAAUCAUAAGGGACAACAAGUUGAUGACUUUUUACAAAGUGAACACAUGCAUGUAACAACCAGUAAGACCAAAAUAUAGAACAUUACUGGCACCCCAGAAACUUAUGUUAUACCCCUACCUAGUCAUUACCCCUGAAAUUUAAGCACUAUUCUAACCUAUGUUACUAUAGAAUUGUUUUGCCGGCUUUUUAUACUUUAUACAAAUGGAAUUAUAAAUUAUGUAUAUUUUUA